rnacentral:rRNA from 1 species
GAUGAACGCUGGCGGCGUGCCUAAUACAUGCAAGUCGAGCGAACGGACGAGGAGCUUGCUUUUCUGAUGUUAGCGGCGGACGGGUGAGUAACACGUGGAUAACCUACCUAUAAGACUGGGAUAACUUCGGGAAACCGGAGCUAAUACCGGAUAAUAUUUUGAACCGCAUGGUUCAAUAGUGAAAGACGGUCUUGCUGUCACUUAUAGAUGGAUCCGCGCUGCAUUAGCUAGUUGGUAAGGUAACGGCUUACCAAGGCAACGAUGCAUAGCCGACCUGAGAGGGUGAUCGGCCACACUGGAACUGAGACACGGUCCAGACUCCUACGGGAGGCAGCAGUAGGGAAUCUUCCGCAAUGGGCGAAAGCCUGACGGAGCAACGCCGCGUGAGUGAUGAAGGUCUUCGGAUCGUAAAACUCUGUUAUUAGGGAAGAACAUAUGUGUAAGUAACUAUGCACAUCUUGACGGUACCUAAUCAGAAAGCCACGGCUAACUACGUG